rnacentral:misc_RNA from 1 species
AAGUCGUAACAAGGUUUCCGUAGGUGAACCUGCGGAAGGAUCAUUAAAGAGGUAGGGUCUUCAUGCUCCGCACCUCCAUCUCUGAUGUCAUACUAUCCGUUGGUUGCUUGGCGGGACCGUCUCGGUCUCCGAGCGCACUAACCCUCGGGUUGGUGAGCGCCCGCCAGAGUCCAACCAAACUCUUGUACUAAACCAGUCGUCUGAGUAUAAAAUUUUAAUUAAAUUAAAA